rnacentral:tRNA from 1 species
GCGGAAGUGGCGGAAUUGGCAGACGCGCUAUCUUGAGGGGGUAGUGUCCAUCGUGACGUGCGGGUUCAAGUCCCGCCUUCCGCA